GCGCCCUUAGCUCAGUUGGAUACAGCGUCUGGCUACGAACCAGAAGGUCGGGAGUUCGAAUCUCUCAGGGCACA
rnacentral:tRNA from 1 species